CCCCAGAUGUUGCUGAACUACAACUCCCAUGAUUCCCUGGCUCUGUUUCAUUGAAAGAAUCAUGGGAGUUGUAGUUCAGCAACAUCUGGGG